rnacentral:rRNA from 1 species
UAGGGAAUAUUCCACAAUGAGCGAAAGCUUGAUGGAGCGACACAGCGUGCACGAUGAAGGCCCUCGGGUUGUAAAGUGCUGUUGCAAGGGAAGAACAGUUAGUUGAGGAAAUGCUUCUAAUCUGACGGUACCUUGUUAGAAAGCGAUGGCUAACUAUGUGCCAGCAGCCGCGGUAAUACAUAGGUCGCAAGCGUUAUCCGGAAUUAUUGGGCGUAAAGCGUUCGUAGGCUGUUUAUUAAGUCUGGAGUCAAAUCCCAGGGCUCAACCCUGGCUCGCUUUGGAUACUGGUAAACUAGAGUUAGAUAGAGGUAAGCGGAAUUCCAUGUGGAGCGGUGAAAUGCGUAGAUAUAUGGAAGAACACCAAAGGCGAAGGCAGCUUACUGGGUCUAUACUGACGCUGAGGGACGAAAGCGUGGGGAGCAAACAGGAUUAGAUACCCUGGUAGUCCACGCUGUAAACGAUGAUCAUUAGUCGGUGGAAAACUACUGACGCAGCUAACGCAUUAAAUGAUCCGCCUGAGUAGUAUGCUCGCAAGAGU